rnacentral:rRNA from 1 species
AGGGUUGGUCUGUUCGCCCAUUAAAGCGGCACGCGAGCUGGUUUCAGAAGUUCGGAGGAUCGUUCGGUCCCGCUCGGUCGCGGGCGUUUGAAAUGUGAGAGGAGCUGUCCUUAGUACGAGAGGACCGGGAUGGACUUACCGCUGGUGUACCAGUUGUUCUGCCAAGGGCAUUGCUGGGUAGCUAUGUAGGGAAGGGAUAAACGCUGAAAGCAUCUAAGUGUGAAGCCCACCUCAAGAUGAGAUUUCCCAUUUCUUUAAGAAAGUAAGAUCCCUGAGAGAUGAUCAGGUAGAUAGGUCAGGAGUGGAAGUACAGUGAUGUAUGGAGCGGACUGAUACUAAUCGAUCGAGGACUUAACCAAU